AAAUGAAUAGACGGGAGCCCGCACAAGCAGUGGAGUAUGUGGUUUAAUUCGACGCAACGCGAAGAACCUUACCGGGUCUUGACAUCCAAGGAACCGGCCGUAAUGGGCCGGGUGCCCUUCGGGGAGCCUUGAGACAGGUGGUGCAUGGUUGUCGUCAGCUCGUGUCGUGAGAUGUUGGGUUAAGUCCCGCAACGAGCGCAACCCUUACGGUUAGUUGCUACGCAAGAGCACUCUGGCCGGACUGCCGUUGACAAAACGGAGGAAGGUGGGGACGACGUCAAAUCAUCAUGCCCCUUAAGACCCGGGCUACACACGUACUACAAUGGCGCAAACAAAGGGAAGCGAAGUCGCGAGGCGGAGCGAACCCCAGAAAAGGCGCCCCAGUUCGGAUUGCAGGCUGAAACUCGCCUGCAUGAAGUCGGAAUUGCUAGUAAUCGCGGAUCAGCAUGCCGCGGUGAAUACGUUCCCGGGCUUUGUACACACCGCCCGU
rnacentral:rRNA from 1 species